rnacentral:rRNA from 1 species
AUUGAACGCUGGCGGCAUGCUUUACACAUGCAAGUCGAACGGUAGAGGGGCAACCCUUGAGAGUGGCGAACGGGUGAGUAAUGCAUCGGAACGUGCCCAGUAGUGGGGGAUAGCCCGGCGAAAGCCGGAUUAAUACCGCAUGAGACCUGAGGGUGAAAGCGGGGGAUCGCAAGACCUCGCGCUAUUGGAGCGGCCGAUGUCAGAUUAGCUAGUUGGUGGGGUAAAGGCCUACCAAGGCGACGAUCUGUAGCUGGUCUGAGAGGACGACCAGCCACACUGGGACUGAGACACGGCCCAGACUCCUACGGGAGGAAGCAGUGGGGAAUUUUGGACAAUGGGCGCAAGCCUGAUCCAGCCAUGCCGCGUGCGGGAAGAAGGCCUUCGGGUUGUAAACCGCUUUUGUCAGGGAAGAAAUCUUCUGGGCUAAUACCCUGGGAGGAUGACGGUACCUGAAGAAUAAGCACCGGCUAACUACGUGCCAGCCGCCGCCGUAACAC